rnacentral:rRNA from 1 species
ACAGAGGCGGCAAGCGUUGUUCGGAAUUAUUGGGCGUAAAGAGCAUGUAGGCGGCUAUGUAAGUCGGUCGUGAAAGCCUUCCGCUUAACGGAAGAAUGGCGGUCGAAACUGCAUGGCUUGAGUGCGGGAGGGGAGAGUGGAACUUCUGGUGGAGCGGUGAAAUGCGUAGAUAUCCGGAGGAACACCGGUGGCGAAGGCGACACGCUGGGCCUGGCCUGACGCUCAGGCGCGAAAGCAUGGGGAGCGAACGG